rnacentral:rRNA from 1 species
UUACGGCUACAUCACGUUGAAACACCGGUUCCCGUAUGAUCACCGUAGUUAAGCAAUGUCGAGCCUGGUCAGUAACUAGAUGGGUGACCGUUUGGGAAUACCAGGUGCUGUAA